AACGCUGGCGGCAUGCCUAACACAUGCAAGUCGAACGAGACCUUCGGGUCUAGUGGCGCACGGGUGCGUAACGCGUGGGAACCUGCCUUUAGGUUCGGAAUAACUCAGAGAAAUUUGAGCUAAUACCGGAUGAUGUCUUCGGACCAAAGAUUUAUCGCCUUUAGAUGGGCCCGCGUUGGAUUAGGUAGUUGGUGGGGUAAUGGCCUACCAAGCCGACGAUCCAUAGCUGGUUUGAGAGGAUGAUCAGCCACACUGGGACUGAGACACGGCCCAGACUCCUACGGGAGGCAGCAGUGGGGAAUCUUAGACAAUGGGCGCAAGCCUGAUCUAGCCAUGCCGCGUGAGCGAUGAAGGCCUUAGGGUUGUAAAGCUCUUUCAGUGGGGAAGAUAAUGACUGUACCCACAGAAGAAGCCCCGGCUAACUCCGUG
rnacentral:rRNA from 1 species